CAAAAACAGGAGUCUGGAAGAAGCGAAAAAAUGAUGGAAUGAGGGGCAGGCUACUGUAACCCACCAGAGAAUCAGAAGAAUGUCUUAACUAAAAGUUUGAAGCAGAGAGUAAGACAAGAGCAUUGUAUUCCAGAACAACACAAAUUGGAGUGAGAAAUCAAAUUCCAAAUAGUGAAACAGCACUUUUCAUUUCCUAUUCUAAAUAAAGCAAU
rnacentral:lncRNA from 1 species